rnacentral:rRNA from 1 species
UGGGGAAUUUUGGACAAUGGGCGCAAGCCUGAUCCAGCCAUGCCGCGUGCGGGAAGAAGGCCUUCGGGUUGUAAACCGCUUUUGUCAGGGAAGAAAUCUUCUGAGUUAAUACCUCGGGAGGAUGACGGUACCUGAAGAAUAAGCACCGGCUAACUACGUGCCAGCAGCCGCGGUAAUACGUAGGGUGCAAGCGUUAAUCGGAAUUACUGGGCGUAAAGCGUGCGCAGGCGGUUUUGUAAGACAGAGGUGAAAUCCCCGGGCUCAACCUGGGAACUGCCUUUGUGACUGCAAGGCUUGAGUGCGGCAGAGGGGGAUGGAAUUCCGCGUGUAGCAGUGAAAUGCGUAGAUAUGCGGAGGAACACCGAUGGCGAAGGCAAUCCCCUGGGCCUGCACUGACGCUCAUGCACGAAAGCGUGGGGAGCAAACAGGAUUAGAUACCCUGGUAGUCCACGCCCUAAACGAUGUCAACUGGUUGUUGGGAAGGUUCCUUCUCAGUAACGUAGCUAACGCGUGAAGUUGACCGCCUGGGGAGUACGGCC